rnacentral:SRP_RNA from 1 species
UGACCCAAGCGGGGGCUACUGUCAGGAUCCCAUGGGUCCGAGGCGUACUUGGCGACCGCAUGUCGAUGGCGUGUCCACUCUGAAUCGACGGACUCUCGAGAUGAUUUACCUGAAGGUUUAAAAUCUCUUGAGAUAAUGAGUUGGGCAUCCCCCAGGCUGGCAACAGAACAAGGGCAACCACCUCCGCCGAUAGUGGAUGGACUGCAUGCCUGAAUGUAAUGGAACCAAGU